CCCCGUGAACCUUUACUAUAGCUUGACACUGAACAUUGAGCCUUGAUGUGUAGGAUAGGUGGGAGGCUUUGAAGUGUGGACGCCAGUCUGCAUGGAGCCGACCUUGAAAUACCACCCUUUAAUGUUUGAUGUUCUAACGUGGACCCGUGAUCCGGGUUGCGGACAGUGUCUGGUGGGUAGUUUGACUGGGGCGGUCUCCUCCUAAAGAGUAACGGAGGAGCACGAAGGUUGGCUAAUCCUGGUCGGACAUCAGGAGGUUAGUGCAAUGGCAUAAGCCAGCUUGACUGCGAGCGUGACGGCGCGAGCAGGUGCGAAAGCAGGUCAUAGUGAUCCGGUGGUUCUGAAUGGAAGGGCCAUCGCUCAACGGAUAAAAGGUACUCCGGGGAUAACAGGCUGAUACCGCCCAAGAGUUCAUAUCGACGGCGGUGUUUGGCACCUCGAUGUCGGCUCAUCACAUCCUGGGGCUGAAGUAGGUCCCAAGGGUAUGGCUGUUCGCCAUUUAAAGUGGUACGCGAGCUGGGUUUAGAACGUCGUGAGACAGUUCGGUCCCUAUCUGCCGUGGGCGCUGGAGAACUGAGGGGGGCUGCUCCUAGUACGAGAGGACCGGAGUGGACGCAUCACUGGUGUUCGGGUUGUCAUGCCAAUGGCACUGCCCGGUAGCUAAAUGCGGAAGAGAUAAGUGCUGAAAGCAUCUAAGCACGAAACUUGCCCCGA
rnacentral:rRNA from 1 species